rnacentral:rRNA from 1 species
AAAAUCAAUUUAUUCUGAAAGUGAAAUUUUAUUAAUAUUAAUAAUUUUCUAUUAUUUAUUUAAAAUAUUAUUGUUUUAUUAUUUAUUUAGAAAAAAUUUUUUUAAUUAUAGUUAACUUGUAUUGUGAAAGAAUAAUUAUUAUUAUUUAAAAGAAGAAUUUAAUUUUUGUACCUUGUGUAUCAGGGUUAAUUAAAUUAUUUAUAUUUAUUUAUAUAUCUCGAAUCUUAAAGAGCUAAGGUUUUAUUUUUUAAAUGUUUCAUAAUUUUAUAAAAUAUAAUUUUAGUAAUGAAAUGUUAUUCGUUUUUUGAUAUAUCUAGUUUUUUGAGAAAUAGAUUUAAUUUAUUUAUUUUUAAAAUUGAUUUAAUUUUUUAAUUUAAUUUUGGAAAUAAAAAAUUUUUUUAGGGAAAAGCUUGAAAAAAUAAAUUUAUUUAGUUUUGAAUAUUAAAUUUUUAAGUAGGAUUAUAAUUUUCCGUCUUUUUUAGAAUGUUAUAGUUUCUUUAUUAUUAAUUAUUAUUUAUAUAUUUAAUAAAUUUUUUAUCAAAAUGUUUAAUUUAAUAGUAAAAUUUAAGUAAUAAUGAUUGGAUUAGUAUAUUUUUAAGUAUUUAUAUAUUUUAACUGGAGAUAUAAAUAAUGAAUUCGGCAAUUUUAUUUUUCACCUGUUUAUUAAAAACAUGUCUUUUUGAAAAUGAUUUAAGGUUGGGCCUGCUCAAUGAUUAAAUUAAAUAGCUGCAGUAUUUUGACUGUACUAAGGUAGCAUAAUCAUUAGUUUCUUAAUUGGGAACUGGAAUGAAGGGUUUGAUGAAAAAAUAACUGUCUCUUUUAUAAAUAUAGAAAUUUAUUUUUAAGUAAAAAAGCUUAAAUAUAAUUAAAAGACGAGAAGACCCUAUAGAGUUUAAUAAUUUAAUAAUAAGUGUUUAUGAAGUUGAUAAUUUAUUUUAAUUACUAAAAUUAUUUGGUUGGGGUGAUUUAAAAAUUUGUUAAACUUUUUAUUUUUUGAAACUUAAAUGUAAGGUUUAUUUGAUCCAUUAGUAGUGAUUAUGAGAAUAAAUUACCUUAGGGAUAACAGCGUAAUCUUUUUUUAGAGUUCAAAUUAAUAAAAGGGAUUGCGACCUCGAUGUUGGAUUAAAAUUAACUUUUAGGUGCAGAAGCUAAAUAGUUGAGUCUGUUCGACUUUUAAAAUUUUACAUGAUCUGAGUUUAAACCGGUGUGAGCCAGGUUGGUUUCUAUCUUUAAUUAAAUAUGAAAUUUUAGUACGAAAGGACCAAAUUUUUAAUUAAUAAUUUUAUUUUUGAAUAUUAAUGUUAUUUUGGCAGAAUAGUGCAAUUGAUUUAGAAUCUUUAUAUGUAAUUUAAAUUACAAAUAA